GACGAACGCUGGCGGCGUGCUUAACACAUGCAAGUCGAACGGAAAGGCCCUGCUUUUGUGGGGUGCUCGAUUGGCGAACGGGUGAGUAACACGUGAGUAACCUGCCCUUGACCUUGGGAUAACUUCAGGGAACUGGGGCUAAUACCGGAUAGGAGCUUCUGCUGCAUGUUGGGGGUUGGAAAGUGUCGGCGGUUGGGGAUGGACUCGCGGCUUAUCAGCUUGUUGGUGGGGUAGUGGCGUACCAAGGCUUUGACGGGUAGCCGGCCUGAGAGGGUGACCGGCCACCUGGGGCCUGAGAUACGGCGCAGUCUCCUACGGGAGGCAGCAGUGGGGAAUAUUGCACAAUGGGCGGAAGCCUGAUGCAGCAACGCCGCGUGCGGGAUGCCGGCCUUCGGGGUGUAAACCGCUUUCGCCUGUGACGAAGAGUGCGUGACGGUAAUGGGUCAAGAAGCACCGGCUAACUACGUG
rnacentral:rRNA from 1 species